AACGCAUAUUGCACUCUCUGGUAAUCCGGGGAGUAUGCCUGUUUGAGGGUCAGUAAAUAAUAAUUAUCAUAAUCUUUUGAUUGUGGAAUUGGGCUUUUAUUUCAUUUUUAAUGAUUUAUGGCCUCAAAUUUACGUUACCGCUUGUUUAAUAUGAAAUUCGACCGAAUGGAGCAAUUAAACAUUCUCUCGUUAGGCGGAUUCAUCAAGCAAUUACGAUUUUUUGGCCGCUGAAGGACUUUUUAACAAGUGCUUGGCUGAGAUCGUGAAUUUUUAACAAAUGACCUCAAAUCAGGCAAGAAUACCCGCUGAACUUAA
rnacentral:misc_RNA from 1 species